rnacentral:misc_RNA from 1 species
GAUGAAGAACGUAGCGAAAUGCGAUAAGUAAUGCGAAUUGCAGAAUUCCAGUGAGUCAUCGAAUCUUUGAACGCACAUUGCGCCCAUUGGUAUUCCGAUGGGCAUGCCUGUUCGAGCGUCAUUAUCAACCCUCAAGCCCCUUUGGCUUGGUGUUGGACGGUUUGGUGGAGGCCCCCUCGGGGGCUCCUGCCCCUCCCAAAGACAAUGACGGCGGCCUCGUUGGACCCCCGGUACACUGAGUUCUUCACGGGACACGUAUCGGACACAUGGGUUUACGGGACACGGUCUGCCUCCCCUCAGGGAGAAUCUUUCUAAGGUUGACCUCGGAUCAGGUAGGGAUACCCGCUGAACUUAAGCAUAUCAAUAAGCGGAGGA